rnacentral:rRNA from 1 species
UACGUAGGGGUCGAGUGUUGUCCGGACUUACUGGGCGUAAAGGGUGGGUAGGUGGUCAGUGCUGUGCCGUGUGAAAGCCCUGCGUUCAUCGCGGGGAGGUCGCGGUAGACACGCUGACUGGAGGCAUGCAGACGGUCGUGGAAUUCCCGGUGUAGUGGUGAAAUGCGUAGAGAUCGGGAGGAACACCAGUGGCGCAAGCGGCGACCGAGGCAUGACCUGACACUGAGCCACGACGGCGUGGGGAGCAAACGGG